ensembl:lncRNA
CCAGUGCCACAUCUAUUGCGGGCCAGGCUGUAUAGCUGGGAAGAUGAACAAGACUUCUCAGGAUGGAGCAUGCCACUCCCCUCCUUGUCUCCAAGACGUCUGAGUUUUGAUGAAAAUACUGAAGCUAAAGCAUCUGAGAGCAAUCAACACUGGAUCAGACUGCCUAGGAAAGCACAGCGCUUAAUCAUUAUGCUGAAGGGAAAAAUGCAGUAAGAACACACAAUUAGAUAAAAAGGGGCUGAAAUUCUGGCAUAGAAACUCAGAUAUUCUUUGCUUCAUAUAAAGAUUCCAGCUGCCAUUAAUUUAGUUACAUUAUCUUUUCAUUGCAGAUGUUUAGGAAUUGGUUUUCUAAAUUACAGAGAAUAAAAGCAUUCCUACUAGAG